GCCUCACAAAAUAAGAUUACCUUACCAACAUGCGGAACACCAUUGAUUAUUUCUAAAGGUCGUAUCCAUCGUGUUAAUCCUGUGUGGACACAUAAUGAUAUGAAAAAUCUGAAAAUUCACAGACAAUUCACUGGAAGAGAUAUUAGCAACAUUGCUAAAUGCAUACGGGUAAAACACGGUCGAAAAUCUGUCGAAUCAAAUCUUACUAAACAUUUACAAGAGUCAAAUAAAUGUUUACAAGAAUUCUUUGAAACAGUCGAUCUUGAUUCCCAAGAAAAAUCUUUUAGACCCUCCAUUUUUGUAAAAAAUAUUUCGGAACUUCUAUGAAAAUCAUUGAGAAAAUGAAGAUUCAACCUCACGAUGCUUUGGUUAAAGUGUUUGCUGAUGAUGGAGGUGGUAGUUAUAAGAUAGGUCUCGGCGUCAUAAUCAUUUCAAACUAUAAAAAAGAUAUGCGUCUUAAAAGAAACCUUUACUCACAGAUA
rnacentral:lncRNA from 1 species